GGUUCUAUGGUGUAGUGGUUAGCACUUUGGACUUUGAAUCCAACGACCCGGGUUCAAAUCCCGGUAGGACCU
rnacentral:tRNA from 2 species